rnacentral:rRNA from 1 species
UACAGAGGGGGCAAGCGUUAUUCGGAAUUAUUGGGCGUAAAGGGCGCGUAGGCGGCCUUGCAAGUGACGGGUGAAAUCCCUCGGCUUAACCGAGGAACUGCCUGUCAGACUGCAUGGCUUGAGACCGGGAGAGGUGAGUGGAAUUCCCAGUGUAGCGGUGAAAUGCGUAGAUAUUGGGAGGAACACCAGUGGCGAAGGCGGCUCGCUGGACCGGUACUGACGCUGAGGCGCGAAAGCGUGGGGAGCAAACAGG